UACGAAGGGUGCAAACAGUUGCUCGGAAUUAUUGGGCGUAAAGCGCACGUAGGCGGCUUUGCAAGUCGGAUGUGAAAGCCCUCGGCUUAACUGAGGAAGUGCACCCGAAACUGAGUAGCUAGAGUACGAAAGAGGGUCGCGGAAUUCCCGGUGUAGAGGUGAAAUUCGUAGAUAUCGGGAGGAACACCGGUGGCGAAGGCGGGUCUCUGGGCCGAAAUUGACGCUGAGGAGCGAAAGCGUGGGGAGCAAACAGG
rnacentral:rRNA from 1 species